AUGCACGCUGGCGGCGUGCCUCAUACAUGCCAGUCGAGCGAACAGACGAGGAGCUUGCUCCUCUGACGUUAGCGGCGGACGGGUGAGUAACACGUGGAUAACCUACCUAUAAGACUGGGAUAACUUCGGGAAACCGGAGCUAAUACCGGAUAAUAUAUUGAACCGCAUGGUUCAAUAGUGAAAGACGGUUUUGCUGUCACUUAUACAUGGAUCCGCGCCGCAUUAGCUAGUUGGUAAGGUAACGGCUUACCAAGGCAACGAUGCGUAGCCGACCUGAGAGGGUGAUCGGCCACACUGGAACGGAGACACGGUCCAGACUCCUACGGGAGGCAGCAGUAGGGAAUCUUCCGCAAUGGGCGAAAGCCUGACGGAGCAACGCCGCGUGAGUGAUGAAGGUCUUCGGAUCGUAAAACUCUGUUAUUAGGGAAGAACAAAUGUGUAAGUAACUAUGCACGUCUUGACGGUACCUAAUCAGAAAGCCACGGCUAACUACGUG
rnacentral:rRNA from 1 species